AUUCAAGACUAUCUGGGGUUCCUGUUGAAGGCAAAAAGACAUGAAAAUAAAACUGAUAUAGUUAAGUGAUUUGGGCUUGGAAAUUUCAUAAUAUACAUUACCGAUACAUUUUGGUUUCAUCAUGAAGUUUCAUCAUCUUAAAGAGUAGUAACAGAAAAUCAGUGAUGAAAAGGAGAAUGGCUAAGUGUACAGAAGGAG
rnacentral:lncRNA from 1 species